AGAAAACUUUGCAAUGUGCGAAAGCACGACAAGGUUAAUCCGAGUGGUUUCUGCUAAAGAAACCUUUUGUCAGUCCUAGAAACACUAACGAAUAAGGGGUGGGCAAGUUCUGGUGUCAGCCGCCGCGGUAAAACCAGCACCUCAAGUGGUCAGGAUGAUUAUUGGGCCUAAAGCAUCCGUAGCUCGUUUUGUAAGUUUUCGGUUAAAUCCAUGCGCUUAACGUAUGGGCUGCCGGGAAUACUGCAUAACUAGGAAGUGGGAGAGGUAGACGGUACUCGGUAGGAGGGGGUAAAAUCCUUUGAUCUAUUGAUGACCACCUGUGGCGAAGGCGGUCUACCAGAACACGUUCGACGGUGAGGGAUGAAAGCUGGGGGAGCAAACCGGAUUAGAUACCCGGGUAGUCCCAGCUGUAAACUAUGCAAACUCAGUGAUGCAUUGGCUUAUGGCCAAUGCAGUGCUGCAGGGAAGCCGUUAAGUUUGCCGCCUGGGAAGUACGUACGCAAGUAUGAAACUUAAAGGAAUUGGCGGGGGAGCACCACAAGGGGUGAAGCCUGCGGUUCAAUUGGAGUCAACGCCAGAAAUCUUACCCGGAGAGACAGCAGAAUGAAGGUCAAGCUGAAGACUUUACCAGACAAGCUGAGAGGUGGUGCAUGGCCGUCGCCAGCUCGUGCCGUGAGAUGUCCUGUUAAGUCAGGUAACGAGCGAGAUCCCUGCCUCUAGUUGCCACCAUUACUCUCAGGAGUAGUGGGGCGAAUUAGCGGGACCGCCGCAGUUAAUGCGGAGGAAGGAAGGGGCCACGGCAGGUCAGUAUGCCCCGAAACUCUGGGGCCACACGCGGGCUGCAAUGGUAGUGACAAUUGGUUCCGAAUCCGAAAGGAGGAGGUAAUCCCUAAACGCUACCACAGUUAUGACUGAGGGCUGCAACUCGCCCUCACGAAUAUGGAAUCCCUAGUAACUGCGUGUCAUUAUCGCGCGGUGAAUACGUCCCUGCUCC
rnacentral:rRNA from 1 species